AGUGAACGCUGGCGGUAGGCCUAACACAUGCAAGUCGAACGGCAGCACAGUAAGAGCUUGCUCUUACGGGUGGCGAGUGGCGGACGGGUGAGGAAUACAUCGGAAUCUACUUUUUCGUGGGGGAUAACGUAGGGAAACUUACGCUAAUACCGCAUACGACCUACGGGUGAAAGCAGGGGAUCUUCGGACCUUGCGCGAUUGAAUGAGCCGAUGUCGGAUUAGCUAGUUGGCGGGGUAAAGGCCCACCAAGGCGACGAUCCGUAGCUGGUCUGAGAGGAUGAUCAGGCACACUGGAACUGAGACAAGGUCCAGACUCCUACGGGAGGCAGCAGUUGGGAAUAUUUGACCAUGGGCGCAAGCCUGAUCCAGCCAUACCGCGUGGGUGAAGAAGGCCUUCGGGUUGUAAAGCCCUUUUGUUGGGAAAGAAAAGCAGCAGGUUAAUACCCCGCUGUUCUGACGGUACCCAAAGAAUAAGCACCGGCUAACUUCGUU
rnacentral:rRNA from 1 species